rnacentral:piRNA from 1 species
UAUAUGUAACUACUACAUACUCAGGGGCUU